AAGUAAUGUAAAUGCUGUCAACGUUAAUUUAGCGUGAUAGGUGCUUAAACACUAUUUACUUAAUAAAAAGGUGAGUAAAUGCUGUUUAUGUGCAUUCACCCUCCACUAAAAACCGAAGUAUAACUUCUUGUUGGGUCACAGGAGCAGUUCAAUGCUAAUCGCAAAUUUUGUGUAAUAUGUGCUUAAUUAAAAUAGGAACAGUCCAACCAGCUGCAGGGCUGCAGUGCGUCGGCCCCAACCCUCAGUGUGGUGCGUCGCAGCAACCCUCCCAGCACGGGCCCCCGACCAGUCUCCAACUGCUACGAGACUUUACCCUACAGUCAAAUUGGAGGAUCCACACAGAGGUGAGUUGCCUUUCUCCCCGUUUUCCCUUUCAUGCAAGGAGGUCGCCAUUUUGGAUCUGUUUCC
rnacentral:lncRNA from 1 species